rnacentral:rRNA from 1 species
UACGGUGAAUACGUUCCCGGACCUUGCACACACCGCCCGUCAAGCCAUGGGAGCCGGGUGUACCUAAAGUCGGUAACCGUAAGGAGCCGCCUAGGGUAAAACUGGUGACUGGGGCUAAGUCGUAACAAGGUACCC